rnacentral:rRNA from 1 species
CAAAUCAUCAUGCCCUUUAUGUCCUGGGCGACACACGUGCUACAAUGGCCGGUACAAGAGACGCAACCAGCGAUGGUGCGCAAAUCUCAAAAAGCCGGUCUCAGUUCAGAUCGAAGUCUGCAACUCGACUUCGUGAAGGCGGAAUUGCUAGUAAUCGCGAAUCAGCCAUGUCGCGGUGAAUACGUUCCCGGGGUUU